rnacentral:rRNA from 1 species
AUUGAACGCUGGCGGCAUGCCUUACACAUGCAAGUCGGACGAGUGGCGGACGGGUGAGUAACAUAUCGGAACGUACCGAGUAAUGGGGGAUAACUAAUCUAAAGAUUAGCUAAUACCGCAUAAUAUUCGAGCGGCAGAUAUCGGAUUAGCUGGUAGGUGGGGUAAAGGCCUACCAAGGCGACGAUCCGUAGCGGGUCUGAGAGGAUGAUCCGCCACACUGGAACGGAGACACGGCCCAGACUCCUACGGGAUGCAGCAGUGGGGAAUUUUGGACAAUGGGCGCAAGCCUGAUCCAGCCAUGCCGCGUGUCUGAAGAAGGCCUUCGGGUUGUAAAGGACUUUUGUCAGGGAAGCGUUACCUGAAGAAUAAGCACCGGCUAACUACGUGCCAGCCGCCGCGGUAAUAC